ACACCAUUACAUAUAACACCUCACAGGACUAGAGGAAGAGGAGGAACACCAUUACAUAUAACACCCCACAGGACUAGAGGAAGAGGAGGGACACCAUUACAUAUAACACCCCACAGGACUAGAGGAAGAGGAGGGACACCAUUACAUAUAACACCCCACAGGACUAGAGGAAGAGGAGGUAAACACCAUUACAUAUAACACCCCACAGGACUAGAGGAAGAGGAGGGACACCAUUACAUAUAACACCCCACAGGACUAGAGGAAGAGGAGGUAAACACCAUUACAUAUAACACCUCACAGGACUAGAGGAAGAGGAGGUAAACACCAUUACAUAUAACACCCCACAGGACUAGAGGAAGAGGAGGUAAACACCAUUACAUAUAACACCCCACAGGACUAGAGGAAGAGGAGGUAAACACCAUUACAUAUAACACCCCACAGGACUAGAGGAAGAGGAGGGACACCAUUACAUAUAACACCCCACAGGACUAGAGGAAGAGGAGGUACACCAUUACAUAUAACACCCCACAGGACUAGAGGAAGAGGAGGGACACCAUUACAUAUAACACCCCACAGGACUAGAGGAAGAGGAGGGACACCAUUACAUAUAACACCCCACAGGACUAGAGGAAGAGGAGGGACACCAUUACAUAUAACACCCCACAGGACUAGAGGAAGAGGAGGGACACCAUUACAUAUAACACCCCACAGGACUAGAGGAAGAGGAGGUACACCAUUACAUAUAACACCUCACAGGACUAGAGGAAGAGGAGGGACACCAUUACAUAUAACACCUCACAGGACUAGAGGAAGAGGAGGGACACCAUUACAUAUAACACCCCACAGGACUAGAGGAAGAGGAGGGACACACCAUUACAUAUAACACCCCACAGGACUAGAGGAAGAGGAGGGACACCAUUACAUAUAACACCCCACAGGACUAGAGGAAGAGGAGGGACACCAUUACAUAUAACACCCCACAGGACUAGAGGAAGAGGAGGGACACCAUUACAUAUAACACCCCACAGGACUAGAGGAAGAGGGACACCAUUACAUAUAACACCUCACAGGACUAGAGGAAGAGGAGGGACACCAUUACAUAUAACACCUCACAGGACUAGAGGAAGAGGAGGUAAACACCAUUACAUAUAACACCUCACAGGACUAGAGGAAGAGGAGGGACACACCAUUACAUAUAACACCCCACAGGACUAGAGGAAGAGGAGGAACACCAUUACAUAUAACACCCCACAGGACUAGAGGAAGAGGAGGAACACCAUUACAUAUAACACCUCACAGGACUAGAGGAAGAGGAGGGACACCAUUACAUAUAACACCCCACAGGACUAGAGGAAGAGGAGGGACACCAUUACAUAUAACACCCCACAGGACUAGAGGAAGAGGAGGUAAACACCAUUACAUAUAACACCCCACAGGACUAGAGGAAGAGG